UUCUAAGUAACAAAUGAAUCUAAUACUGUAAACUUUUAAUAAUAAAUAUCACUAACACUAUUGUGCAGUGCUUCUUACUUUCCUGCACCAUCCACUUUAUUAGAAACACCUGUAGACAGUCACGAAGUUUUCUAAUCAGCCAAUCAUGUGUUUGAUUUCUUUGACUUUUAUUGUGGCAUUGUUGAUGGUACCAGAUGAGCUGCAUAAACUCCAGAUCUUGUGGGAAUUUUACAUAAAACAGUCUCCAAGUCUCUCAUCAAAGUGUAAAAACAAUGCCAUGGUUAAAGUCAUAAAGACCAAUAGAUUUCAUGAUUGUGUUCGUGUGGCUCUUUGAGGUCAUCAUCCUGCUGUCUGUGUUAUUGGGCACACUGUACAUUUACCCCAGAAUCUCCAGGAAACCGAGGACACCAGAGAGACCAGGAAGCUCUGU